rnacentral:rRNA from 1 species
UACGUAGGGCGCAAGCGUUGUCCGGAAUUAUUGGGCGUAAAGAGCUCGUAGGCGGUCUGUCGCGUCCGUUGUGAAAACUCGAGGCUCAACCUCGGGCUUGCAGUGGAUACGGGCAGACUAGAGUGCGGUAGGGGAGACUGGAAUUCCUGGUGUAGCGGUGGAAUGCGCAGAUAUCAGGAGGAACACCGAUGGCGAAGGCAGGUCUCUGGGCCGCAACUGACGCUGAGACGCGAAAGCGUGGGGAGCGAAACAGG